CGACUGUAAUGGUCAAGGUGGGUUUGAAGGCACUUGAUUUUCUCAAUGUCUCUAUUCCAUGUCCAAAUCUGGAAGCCCAGCGGCGCCCAGCACGAACCUUGCGGUGGUCACCCACUCGCACGGGUAGCCUGCGACUUGCUGCGCGUGGCCCUAAGCAAUGAAGAUGACACUUGAGAGAGGUUCCACUCUGCAGAGACAUCUUCACCGUCAGGUGGCGCGCUGGAUUACGAUCGCUGGGGGGUUGGGAUAGAGCGUUGAGAUGGAGAUGUCGACUCCUAUUUU
rnacentral:SRP_RNA from 10 species